UACGUAGGUGGCAAGCGUUGUCCGGAAUUAUUGGGCGUAAAGCGCGCGCAGGCGGCCUCUUAAGUCUGAUGUGAAAUCUUGCGGCUCAACCGCAAGCGGCCAUUGGAAACUGGGGGGCUUGAGUACAGAAGAGGAGAGUGGAAUUCCACGUGUAGCGGUGAAAUGCGCAGAUAUGUGGAGGAACACCAGUGGCGAAGGCGACUCUCUGGUCUGUAACUGACGCUGAGGCGCGAAAGCGUGGGGAGCAAACAGG
rnacentral:rRNA from 1 species